GAUGAACGCUGGCGGCGUGCUUAACACAUGCAAGUCGAACGAUGAAGCCCAGCUUGCUGGGUGGAUUAGUGGCGAACGGGUGAGUAACACGUGAGUAACCUGCCCUUGACUCUGGGAUAAGCCUGGGAAACUGGGUCUAAUACCGGAUACGACCAUUGCCCGCAUGGGUUGGUGGUGGAAAGCUUUUGUGGUUUUGGAUGGACUCGCGGCCUAUCAGCUUGUUGGUGAGGGAAUGGCUCACCAAGGCGACGACGGGUAGCCGGCCUGAGAGGGUGACCGGCCACACUGGGACUGAGACACGGCCCAGACUCCUACGGGAGGCAGCAGUGGGGAAUAUUGCACAAUGGGCGAAAGCCUGAUGCAGCGACGCCGCGUGAGGGAUGACGGCCUUCGGGUUGUAAACCUCUUUCAGUAGGGAAGAAGCGAGAGUGACGGUACCUGCAGAAGAAGCGCCGGCUAACUACGUG
rnacentral:rRNA from 1 species